UGCGUAGGCGGCCUAUUAAGUUGGAUGUGAAAUACCCGGGCUUAACUUGGGGGGUGCAUCCAAAACUGGCAGGCUAGAGUGCAGGAGAGGGAAGCGGAAUUCCUAGUGUAGCGGUGAAAUGCGUAGAUAUUAGGAGGAACACCAGUGGCGAAGGCGGCUUUCUGGACUGUAACUGACGCUGAGGCACGAAAGCGUGGGGAGCAAACA
rnacentral:rRNA from 1 species